rnacentral:tRNA from 1 species
GGCCUCGUAGCUCAGCCUGGAUAGAGCAUCAGACUUCUAAUCUGAGGGUCGCAGGUUCGAAUCCUGUCGGGGCCG